GGGGAUUUAGCUCAGUGGUGCCAGCACUUGCAUGGCAAGCAAAAGGUCCCAAGUUCAAUCCCCA
rnacentral:tRNA from 1 species